AUUGAACGCUGGCGGCAGGCCUAACACAUGCAAGUCGAACGAGUGGCGGACGGGUGAGUAAUGUCUGGGAAACUGCCUGAUGGAGGGGGAUAACUACUGGAAACGGUAGCUAAUACCGCAUACCAUCAGAUGUGCCCAGAUGGGAUUAGCUUGUUGGUGGGGUAACGGCUCACCAAGGCGACGAUCCCUAGCUGGUCUGAGAGGAUGACCAGGCCAAACGGAAACGAGAACCGGUCCCGAACCCUAAGGGAGGGCAGAGGUGGGAAAUUUUGACAAUGGGCGCAAGCCUGAUGCAGCCAUGCCGCGUGUAUGAAGAAGGCCUUCGGGUUGUAAAGUACUUUCAGCGGGGAGGCGUUACCCGCAGAAGAAGCACCGGCUAACUCCGUGCCAGCAGCCGCGGUAAUUC
rnacentral:rRNA from 1 species